rnacentral:rRNA from 1 species
CCUGGCUCAGAACGAACGCUGGCGGCAGGCUUAACACAUGCAAGUCGAACGCCCUCUUCGGAUAGAGUGGCGGACGGGUGAGUAACGCGUGGGAAUAUACCUUAUGGUACGGAACAACAGUUGGAAACGGCUGCUAAUACCGUAUGUGCCCUUCGGGGGAAAGAUUUAUCGCCAUAAGAUUGGCCCGCGUUAGAUUAGCUAGUUGGUGAGGUAAAGGCUCACCAAGGCGACGAUCUAUAGCUGGUUUGAGAGGAUGAUCAGCCACACUGGGACUGAGACACGGCCCAGACUCCUACGGGAGGCAGCAGUGGGGAAUAUUGGACAAUGGGGGCAACCCUGAUCCAGCCAUGCCGCGUGUGUGAAGAAGGCCUUAGGGUUGUAAAACACUUUCAAUCGUGAUGAUAAUGACAGUAGCGAUAGAAGAAGUUCCGGCUAACUCCGUGCCAGCAGCCGCGGUAAUACGGAGGGAACUAGCGUUAAUCGGAAUUACUGGGCGUAAAGCGCACGUAGGCGGCUUUUUAAGCUAGAUGUGAAAGCCCUGGGCUCAACCUGGGAACUGCAUUUAGAACUGGAAGGCUAGAGUAUGGUAGAGGAGUGUGGAAUUUCAGGUGUAGCGGUGAAAUGCGUAGAGAUCUGAAGGAACAUCAGUGGCGAAGGCGACACCCUGGACAAAUACUGACGCUGAGGUGCGAAAGCGUGGGGAGCAAACGGGAUUAGAUACCCCGGUAGUCCACGCCGUAAACGAUGUCUACUAGCCGUUGGGUUCCUUGAGGACUUCGUGGCGCAGCUAACGCAUUAAUUAGACCGCCUGGGGAGUACGGUCGCAAGAUUAAAACUCAAAUGAAUUGACGGGGGCCCGCACAAGCGGUGGAGCAUGUGGUUUAAUUCGACGCAACGCGAAGAACCUUACCUACUCUUGACAUCCAGAGAAUCUUUCAGAGAUGAGAGAGUGCCUUCGGGAAUUCUGAGACAGGUGCUGCAUGGCUGUCGUCAGCUCGUGUCGUGAGAUGUUGGGUUAAGUCCCGUAACGAGCGCAACCCUUAUCCUUAGUUGCCAUCAAUUUAGUUGGGGACUAUAAGGAGACUGCCGGUGACAAACCGGAGGAAGGUGGGGACGACGUCAAGUCAUCAUGGCCCUUACGACCUGGGCUACACACGUGCUACAAUGGCAGGUACAGAGGGAAGCGAACUCGCGAGAGUAAGCGGACCCCAGAAAGCCUGUCGUAGUCCGGAUCGGAGUCUGCAACUCGACUCCGUGAAGUCGGAAUCGCUAGUAAUCGCGGAUCAGAAUGCCGCGGUGAAUACGUUCCCGGGCCUUGUACACACCGCCCGUCA